GGUAUUGCCCUUAGCAAAGAGAAAUUGAUUACACGGAAAGGAAAGAUAUUUACUUUAACCAAAGUUAUUGAAGAUGUUGAACUAUGUUACAAAUCAUGUCCACAAUGUGGACUGAUAUACCGAUAUCAGGAGUAUACGGAUGGGCUUCAUAACUUUGACGAUUACCAUUGCUUUAGUCUAAGCUUCCUGUUGCUGUUACGAGCAUUUGUCGAGGAGCAUACAGCAUUAGGAAGAGUCGCAUCAGCAGUU